AGUUUGAUCCUGGCUCAGGAUGAACGCUAGCUACAGGCUUAACACAUGCAAGUCGAGGGGCAGCAUUUCAGUUUGCUUGCAAACUGGAGAUGGCGACCGGCGCCAGGGGGAAUAAACACGUUUCCACCUCCGCGAUAACUGGGGGAUACCUUUUAAAAAAGAAUAUUUAAACCCCGGAGUGUAUAAACAGCCGGCAUGGCCUUGUUUAAUAAGAAUUUCGGUUAACGAGGGGGGAGCGUUCCCAUUAGGCAGUUGGUGGAGGAACGCGCUCACCAACCCUUUGGAGGGAUAGGGUUCUGGAGAGGAAGGUCCCCCCAAUUGGAACUGAAACCGGGUCCAAAUUCCUAGGGGAGGCAGCAGUGAGGAAUAUUGGUCAAUGGACGAGAUUUUGACCCAGCCAAGUAGCGUGAAGGAUGACUGCCCUAUGGGUUGUAAACUUCUUUUAUAUGGGAAUAAAGUUUUCCACGUGUGGAAUUUUGUAUGUACCAUAUGAAUAAGGAUCGGCUAACUCCGUGCCAGCAGCCGCGGUAAUACGGAGGAUCCGAGCGUUAUCCGGAUUUAUUGGGUUUAAAGGGAGCGUAGGUGGACAGUUAAGUCAGUUGUGAAAGUUUGCGGCUCAACCGUAAAAUUGCAGUUGAUACUGGCUGUCUUGAGUACAGUAGAGGUGGGCGGAAUUCGUGGUGUAGCGGUGAAAUGCUUAGAUAUCACGAAGAACUCCGAUUGCGAAGGCAGCUCACUGGACUGCAACUGACACUGAUGCUCGAAAGUGUGGGUAUCAAACAGGAUUAGAUACCCUGGUAGUCCACACAGUAAACGAUGAAUACUCGCUGUUUGCGAUAUACAGUAAGCGGCCAAGCGAAAGCAUUAAGUAUUCCACCUGGGGAGUACGCCGGCAACGGUGAAACUCAAAGGAAUUGACGGGGGCCCGCACAAGCGGAGGAACAUGUGGUUUAAUUCGAUGAUACGCGAGGAACCUUACCCGGGCUUAAAUUGCAUUUGAAUAUAUUGGAAACAGUAUAGUCGUAAGACAAAUGUGAAGGUGCUGCAUGGUUGUCGUCAGCUCGUGCCGUGAGGUGUCGGCUUAAGUGCCAUAACGAGCGCAACCCUUAUCUUUAGUUACUAACAGGUCAUGCUGAGGACUCUAGAGAGACUGCCGUCGUAAGAUGUGAGGAAGGUGGGGAUGACGUCAAAUCAGCACGGCCCUUACGUCCGGGGCUACACACGUGUUACAAUGGGGGGUACAGAAGGCAGCUACCUGGUGACAGGAUGCUAAUCCCAAAAGCCUCUCUCAGUUCGGAUCGAAGUCUGCAACCCGACUUCGUGAAGCUGGAUUCGCUAGUAAUCGCGCAUCAGCCAUGGCGCGGUGAAUACGUUCCCGGGCCUUGUACACACCGCCCGUC
rnacentral:rRNA from 1 species